AACCGCAACAGUGAAAAAGGACCCCUCCAAAUCGGAAUUCCUUCUUCUUCGAGAGAACACACCCCUAAGAAAGCUUCAGGGAUUUUCUGAGUUGGAGCAACCCAAACGACCCCUUGAACUCUUGCUUCUUCACCAUUAAAAAGAAAGAGAAACCUGAUCUCUCCUGAACCCAACAGCCGCUGAACCUCACAAAUGAACGACCCCCUCGUCUCACGCUCUUGAAGCUAACGCACGCAAAAAGGGCAAAGGAAAACAGAACAGGAGAUUGAGAGUAGGAGAUUAGCUCUUAGAGUGAACGAAAACAGUGAGAAAGAUGGGAAAUUAAGACACUCGAUAGCUUCAUUCAUUGGCGAGUGCAUGGACAAAUUCACAUUCACAAGCUUGUCUUCGUCGUAUGAUUUCAACAACGAUGUGAUUCCUCACCCUUUUCUGGUUUAGUUGAGUGUUGUUUCGAUUCACAGUCGAGUUCGUCGACGUGGUCGCGUCCAAGGUUUCCGGUCCUGAUUCUGUUUGGAUUUUUAUCGCGAUUCCGAGAUCCGGUUAUAGCUACGGUGAACUUCAUUUGUGUAGUUGCUGGAAUUUUGUUAGCCAAAAGAUUAUUUCAGAUCCAGGUAUCUCAGGGCACGGUAGCGGCUGUUGACGACUCCAGUCGCGGGUUAUCAUGGAGAUAGCGAGAUUUGAUUGGUUCGGAGGCUUGUUCGAAAGGCAAAGCCGUGGUUGAACUUUGAGCCAAUUGUGG